rnacentral:misc_RNA from 1 species
UUACAGUGGAGCUGAAUUGGAAGGUGUUGUCAAAAGUGCAGUCUCAUUUGCCUUGAACCGGCAAAUAAGCAUGGAUGAUCUUUCUAAACCUUUGGAUGAGGAGAGCAUAAAGGUUACUAUGGAUGACUUUGAGCAUGCUUGUCAAGAAAUUGUGCCUGCAUUUGGCGCAUCGACAGGUGAUCUUGAGCGGUGCAGGCUUAAUGGUAUUGUUGACUGUGGUCAGAGGCACCGACAUAUAUAUCAAAGAGCUAUGCUUCUCGUGGAG